CUGGCCUAUGACAUAAUUUUUUCUUAUUUCCUCAAAAUCUCUCUGAACUAGGUCCUGCACUCAUAGGCCCUUGCUAUAAGGGUGUUUUAUGUUUUGUUACUUUAUUUUCUCUGUGGCUUAUUGAUGUUGAUUUCUCAUUCUGUUUACAAGCUUGGAGGCUGAUUCUGCAAAACAGAAUCUGCUCAACUGCUUCUCAGAAGAAUGUCUCCCUGAAGGGACUUCAGUUUGCAAAGCUAGCCUUAGGAAAGCCUCUCUUCACAAGACCACAGUUAUUUGGAGGCCCCCAAAAAGCAUCGAUAUUUUUUCAGAAACUUUUCUAAAAAAGCUCCUUAGAAACAGAGUAUCAUCCUUUGUUAUGCCCCAAAGCAUCUUUCACAAAGUGAGUAACCCAUGGUUCUAAGAUUGGGUACAUAUUUAUUCGUUUUAUUCUACUUCCUCAGGAUGAGCAUCCUACUCUCCUGGAGCAAUUGUUGCCCCCUUGCCUAAAUUGCCUCAUUUGUUCUCCUCUUUUUUUUCAAAGUCUAGUGUUUAUUAAUCAGCUACAAAGAUGUCUUUGCUGUAUUUUCCAGGAGGGAUUGGCCCCUGGUUUAACAAAUUCUCCUGGUCUUAGGUUCUUCUAGCUCAAAAUUCCAGAGGUGAGUAUAUAGAUUAAGGACUAUGCAAUAAUAAUAAUAACACAUGUAUAAAUAGAGCAGUAAAGCUUUUAAGGCAUGCAUGCCCAUGAUUUAUUUUUGUCUUCAUUUUAAAAAGGAGAAAACUGUGUUCCAGAGAGGGGUUAUGACUUGUGCAAGGCCACAUUGCAUGACUAUGUAAUUCCCACUGUAAUAUUUUUUCUACUGUACAAUGGGCCUCUGAAUCAGGGUAUCUUACUCCUGUAGUGGGAUCAGCCUUAUCCUGACAAGCUCCUUUUCCCAGAGUCAAGGAGCUGGCAUCGUUAGAGCCCAUCUGAUCUCCAGUGGUUGAAACUUUCAGUGAUUGGCAACAAGACCUACCCUCCAGUCCAUUCCAUUAAGAGUGUUCUGUCUGAACUCCUGCAGACAUGCAAAGUCCUGCAGUAUGCCCUGCCUCAAGAGUAGCACUGGUUAUGAAGCUGUGCUACAGUAGCCUGGUGCAGUUACCUAAAACCACAGGAGAAAACCCAUCUUUCUUGUUGAGGAACUGGAAAUAGGGGACCCUGGGGUUCAAAGACUGUCUGUAUAAUUUUCUCUUACUUUUUUACAUCUUUUUCUCUCACUGCUUUCCUCUGAGGAUGGCCUCUGUUGUACAUAACUUCAUGGCACCAUGACUGGCUAAAACUUUGAAAGCCCAUCUUUCACAAUAGAGAACAAGAAAAAGAGUCCCCUAGGGGUCCUCAGGACAGUGUGAGAGAAAUCACAGAAAAGAGAGAUCCAGUUAGGUAAACUCCUAAAUCUGUGUAUGAAUUAACAAAAGUCCCAGGUGCAGUCCUGUGCUGUGCAUGUGAUAGAGAGACUCAAAGCAGCAUAGCAAAGACUAUCACUACUGAUAUGAACCACCACCCAAGUCCCAAACUAACUGCUGAGUGGCACAUGAAUGUGAC
ensembl:lncRNA